rnacentral:lncRNA from 1 species
CUCAUUGGUGGAAGGAACUUGCCUUGUCUCAGCUGUCAUGUAAGACAUGCUGCCUUGCUUCCCCUUCACCUUCCACCAUGAUUCUAAGUUUCCUGAGGUCUCUCCAGCCAUGCAGAACUUUUCAAACCCCUGGAAUCAUCUGAUUGGUUCACUUAAAAGUCCACCCUCGUCCAAUUGGUUUUCGCAAAGAGGACAGAUUUGCACAUGGCAAAUGUGGCUCAUGAACAAAUUCUCUAUGUGUCCCCAUGAAUGAAAGGCCAGUUGCUAGAGAAAGAAAAUCGUAUAUUGGGCAGAUGCCUAAAAGGUGUUGCCUGACGACUGUGAGAGAGAGGAGAAGCAGUAAACUUUUACUGGAAAAUGAAUAAAUAAAAGGACAUCAGGACAAGAUGCAAAGGAAAGAUGAGAAGAUGAUGACUUUGAAUCAGAAUGGCAGAGAGAUUUGAAGUCAACAAUCACAGAAGAAUCAUCCAUAAUUUAGUGGGUAAUCUCUCUACUCUUGGUCUCAAGUGGACAUUGAGUAAUUCCAUUCAUUUCAUAAUACAUUAUUUUGAUAUUCUUUCAUCAUUUGAAUGAAAAGUAGCUUAUAUUUAAAAGGGAGAGAAGAAAAAAACCAACUAACCUUGAGUUUCUGCUGAAGUAGCUGAGGAUCCAAGAUGCUCUAGGCUGCAAGCUGAAGUUUGAAAAAAAUUCAGCCUGCUGACUUUUAUCCUCUCUUUUGGACAAGAUGACUGUGGGCAAUUUGGGCCUCUGGCUAUGAAACAUGAACCUGUCUAUCCGCGUUAUUAAUGGAUACUUGAUGGGAUGAGCUAACGAUGACUUUGGUUUCUUUGAAAACAGGAAAUUUCUUGAGAUAGGAAAAGCCAAAUAAAC